rnacentral:lncRNA from 1 species
CUAAACUUUAGGUCCAAUCCAAAUUUGCCUCGAACUUUUCUUUAUCUAGAAAAAACCUCAAACUUUAGGCCAAAUCCUAAAUCUAUCUCUAACUUUUUUUGUCUAAAAGAAAAAACACCAAUUUUUACUCUAAUUGCAAAUCUACCCCAUCAGCCCUCUAACCGAAAAUUGCCAUUAGUUGUCCCUAAUUUUCAUAUCUUAGAAUGGUUUCAUUUUGGAAAUAAUUUUCCAUGUCACCUUACUGAAGUGGAGCUUUUAUAGAUGUGGAAAUGUGAUGUCAAAUUGGGACCAGACCAUGGGGGUAAAUUUUGGAAUAUAUUAAAAGUUGGUGAUUUUAUUAAACAAAACAAAAUUCGAGGCAAAUCUUGGACUGUACCUAAAGUUUGGGGUUUCUUUGGACAAAAAAGGUUUGGGCCAAAAUUGGACUAGAACUUGAGGGUUUUUUAAAAGGGAAUUAGGCCUUUUUUGGGGAAAUUUGUUUGAUUUGAUUGUAGCUUGUGUCCCUUGAAUUGAUGUUAUUGUUAUGGGGAACUUAUGAACAUUUGGUACAUUUAGGAGAAUAAAAGCAAAAACAUGUUUCUUCAAAAGAAAAGAUCAUGCAACGAUAACAUGUAUUUCAUGAGUGAAUAGAAUAAAGUUGGAUCUAAGCGUUAUCUAGAAAAGUGAAACUCGUUCACUCUUUUUUUUAUUCUAGACUUCUCCACUUGCAAAUUUCAAUUAACAAAAGUGUCUUUGCACUUUGUAGUGACUGUAUGAAGUUAUCCUUCACUUGGGGUAUAUCUUAACAUGAAUUGCUUUUAUUAUUUAACUGCUAAAACAAUGGAUCUAGUUUUUUUUAUUGAUUGGUCGUUAAUUCUAAUUAACCAUAUCUAGUAAUCUCUCACGGAUUCUCUUACUAUCUACAGAUGAUUCUACGCGGUAUAUCAUGAACGAUUUUGGUCGAAUUGCUAUAUGGAAUCUCUUCUUUGUCUUGGGUAUGAUAAGUCCUUUUCUCUGCACACCUAUGAAGCUCUCAUUCAGCACUCUGACAAACAAAAAUUGUAUGUGUAAAAAAAAUUAUCAUACUAUGCUAAUCGAUGGCCAAAUUUCUCCGCAGUCCAUUUCCUAGCAACAAAAUUCAUACUCGGAGCUCCGUGUGUAUUGAUAUUUCUAAUCUUGAAGUGGAUGAGAAGGCAUCAAGCGACCGAUGCAAACAUCGAAGAGUUUUUACGAGCUCACAAUAACUUUUUUCCCAUAAGGUACUCUUACUCGGAUAUCAAGAGGAUCACACAAAAUUUCAAAUGCAAGUUAGGUGAGGGGGGAUAUGGUUUUGUAUACAGAGGAAUACUUAGAAGUGGCAAUGAAGUUGCGGUUAAGAUUUUGAACAAAUCAAAAUCUAAUGGCCAAGAUUUUAUAAGUGAAGUGGCCACAAUUGGAAGGAUCCACCAUGUUAAUGUAGUGCAACUUGUUGGUUUUUGCUUCGAAUACUCCAAACAAGCUCUUGUCUAUGAUUUCAUGCCGAAUGGAUCUUUGGAUAAACACAUUUCCUAUAAGGAUGGUGAUGAUCCUCUUGAUUAUAAGAAAAUGUAUGACAUCUCUCUUGGCAUAGCUAGAGGGAUAGAGUAUCUACAUCGGGGAUGUGAUAUGCAAAUUCUACAUUUUGACAUCAAGCCUCACAACAUUCUCUUAGACCAAAGUUUCACUCCAAAAGUUUCUGACUUUGGACUUGCAAGACUUUAUCCCACCGAUCGCAGUAUAGUAUCGCUGACUGCAGCAAGAGGAACCUUGGGUUAUAUGGCUCCUGAGCUAUUCUAUAAAGACAUUGGUGGCAUUUCUUACAAAGCUGAUGUUUAUAGUUUUGGGAUGUUAUUAAUGGAAAUGGCUGGUAGAAGGAGAAAUCUAAAUGCACAUGCAGAGCGUUCGAGUCAAAUUUACUUUCCUUUGUGGGUUUAUGAUCAACUUAGCAAAGAAAAGGAACUUGAAAUGGUAGAUGUCAUAGAAGAGGAAAGAGAAACAACGAGGAAGAUGAUAAUUGUUGCACUAUGGUGUAUACAAUUGAGCCCUAAUGAUCGGCCAUCGAUGAGGAAAGUCCUAGAUAUGCUUGAAGGAGAUAUGGAUAAACUACAACUAUCUCCAAAACCACUUUUGUAUCCAAGAGAGGCACCCAUUGAUGAUGUUGACGUUGAGAUAGAACUUGAAACGGUCUCAUCUUCAUCAAGUACUCCAAUAGUUUCUAGCGGUUCCCAAUUUUAUCAUGACCGUGAGUUUAUGAAAUCAUGUAUUGUGUGAUUGUUUCCCUAUAAUUAGAUGCAAAAAUUAUAAAUAGCACUAUCAAAAUGUAUCAUCAUUCAAAAUGUAAUAUGUGAAGCUUUUACAUGUUUUUCAUAUGGCACUAGUGUUUUAUGGUAGACUUGUUAUGUCCAUAUUUUAUACAUGAUGAUGAAUGUUGUAUGGCAUUCAUUCAAUUUUUGUUUCAUGUGAAUCGUCUUGGUAUAACAAGGUAAUUUUUUCUUUGUGUCAAUGUUUGCAUUUUGAGCAAUGAAUCUCUCUCAUUUCCAUCAAAACCUCUCAUCCCCACCCUUCAACCUCUGUUUGAUCACCCACGUCGAAGAUAGCUACCUGCUCAAGCUAUCUUCAACUUGGUCCUCAUGUCACGGGAUGGGUCCAAGCCUAACCGAUGAAUGACCGGCACAUGUCAAAGAGUAAAGACAGAGUAGGCUGACAAUUUUGCCUUUUAUGAUGAAUGGAAAUUGAACAUGUGAUGUUAUGUUAGAGCAUAUUAUGUAUUACGAAAGCUCAAUCCCUAAAUGCAGUAAGAACUUGUGCGUUCACUUGAUGAUAAGACAUGAGAUGGUGCCUUGCAUUCUUCAAAACAAGCAUUAUAUUCCUCAUUGUUGUCCCUUACACAUGAGUUUUCCUACUAAGCAAACAUUCCUCAAGACACCGAUGUUCAUAAGGAACGUGUUUCAUUCAGAGAUCGCAGACAGAGAAGUAUAAAUUUUAAGUUAUAUUAUUAUCAAAAUAAAGCAGCAUAAAAUGAUGCUAAAAAAGUAGAAAAUGGAAAAAAUUAACAAACUUAACAUCUUUAGUGGUCGUGAAAUUCCACAUGAGAAUGGUCCUCCAUUCUAGACUCUAGCUCGUGUCCAAACUCAAAAAAGAUUAGCAAGUGACGCUCAAACUCAACAAAAGGACAGCUCGUUCAAACCGGGCAUGCUCGUGGACCAAGGAAAACGACACCCAGCUAUCAUUUUGGUUCCGUUUUAAAUAAAACCAAGCAAGGGAGUUCCCAGAGAGAUGACACCCAGCUAUCAUUUCGUAUAUGCCAUGUCAUAAAAGCUAGCAAUUAUAUAAACAAAAUUUCAAAUAUAGCAUCCAUCGAGAUUCUAAUAAAAUACUACGAUAUUGGGAAAAAUAAUCCAUCAUCUUGCGUUUUAGAUUGAACAACAAAAGGACAGCUCGUUCAAACCGGGCAUGCUCGUGGACCAAGGAAAACGACACCCAGCUAUCAUUUUGGUUCCGUUUUAAAUAAAACCAAGCAAGGGAGUUCCCAGAGAGAUGACACCCAGCUAUCAUUUCGUAUAUGCCAUGUCAUAAAAGCUAGCAAUUAUAUAAACAAAAUUUCAAAUAUAGCAUCCAUCGAGAUUCUAAUAAAAUACUACGAUAUUGGGAAAAAUAAUCCAUCAUCUUGCGUUUUAGAUUGAUAGAUAUCAUAAUCCUGAUAGGACACUUACUUAGAAUCAAACAUAAUAAAAAAAAAUGAAGAUGGGUCAAACUAAAGAUUAUCACAAUCCUAAGCAACACAAUUAUUCAAUAAUAAGUUGAAAUAAUUAAAAAUAUUAUCCGAUUUCUUUAUGGAUCAUAUUAGUAAUUAAAUCAACUUUAUCAAUAAGCCCUAAUUAGAUUUAUUUAAUAUCUCAAAUAUCACCUAUCAAAUAACAAUCAAUCCGAAUUUAGGAAUGAAAUAUUCCAAUUGAAUUGGAGAAAGAUUAUUACCUAAUUCGAACACGCUCCGAUCCGGAUCACGGCUUGCGAAUGGGGCUAGGCGGAUGGUUGGCUUCAGCCAUUCGUCGGAAGGCUCACCGAUGGGCUGUCUUUGGGUGUGGUGGUCGACAAAAAGGGGACUCACGGUUAAGUAGCAUGAUUUUUCAGUCUAUUCCUCCCCUCAAAAUCUGUAGUCACUACACAUCCAAGUUCUUCGUGAUCUCCUACUUGGACUUAUUUGACUAAAAUUCUUAUAACUCCUUUUGACCGUGGACUUCAAGGCGGUGAGAGGCGCGGCUUGGACUUCAGGUUUGCAAGUAGUGUUCGCAAAAGUCUAGCAUGAUAUUCGUGUGGGUAGAUGUAUUGACUUUGCUGGAUCUCGAUGAAACCUGCAAAAGAGAGAGAGAGAGAGAACAAAACCCCAAGAGCUCAUUAGGUGAAGCCGGUGCAAAGGGCUGUGACUAGACACGCUACAACAAAUUGGAUACUUCAUGUGGCAGCUAUAUAGGGACUUUGAGCAUGAACCGCUGGGCUUGCGAAAUUACAGGACUUAUGCUGGGAAUUCUGUG